rnacentral:tRNA from 1 species
GUCGCGGUGGCUGAGUGGUAAUUAAAGCUCUUGGCUUAUGAACAGGGGGUCCCGGGUUCGAAUCCUGGUAAAGACU